rnacentral:rRNA from 1 species
UACGUAGGGGGCAAGCGUUGUCCGGAAUCAUUGGGCGUAAAGCGCGCGUAGGCGGCCCGAUAAGUCCGCUGUGAAAGUCCAGGGCUCAACCCUGGGAUGCCGGUGGAUACUGUCGGGCUCGAGUCCGGAAGAGGCGAGUGGAAUUCCUGGUGUAGCGGUGAAAUGCGUAGAUAUCAGGAGGAACACCAAUGGCGAAGGCAGCUCGCUGGGACGUGACUGACGCUGAGACGCGAAAGCGGGGGGAGCAAACAGG